rnacentral:lncRNA from 1 species
UGAUCUCUUUUUUUCCUCAUGACUUUGGGAGGUGAGUGCUAUAAUGAAUUACCUUUAUUUUACAGGUGAGGAAACCAAGGCAGAGGUUGUGACUUCCCCAGUAAAUGCUGCUAAGUUUUGGAGUCUUGCAUGCUUGCAAAAGGUAUCCUUCCUGAACCCCAAAGGUAUCCUUCCUGCCCAUAACCUUUUGGUGCCCACAUUGACCCCCAUAACAUUUUGACGCCCAACGUUUUUGGCUCUCCUGAAAGCUACUCCUGUACUCCGGAUCAUCCACGA